AUCGGUGACAGGUGGUGCAUGGUUGUCGUCAGCUCGUGUCGUGAGAUGUUGGGUUUAAGUCCCGCAACGAGCGCAACCCCUAUUGUUAGUUGCCAUCAUUCGGUUGGGCACUCUAGCGAGACUGCCGGUAAUAAACCGGAGGAAGGUGGGGAUGACGUCAAAUCAUCAUGCCCCUUAUGACCUGGGCUACACACGUGCUACAAUGGUUGGUACAACGAGUUGCGAGUCGGUGACGGCGAGCUAAUCUCUUAAAGCCAAUCUCAGUUCGGAUUGUAGGCUGCAACUCGCCUACAUGAAGUCGGAAUCGCUAGUAAUCGCGGAUCAGCACGCCGCGGUGAAUACGUUCCCGGGCCUU
rnacentral:rRNA from 1 species